UGAGGAAUAUUGGACAAUGGGCGAAAGCCUGAUCCAGCCAUGCCGCGUGUGUGAAGAAGGUCUUCGGAUUGUAAAGCACUUUAAGUUGGGAGGAAGGGCAGUAAGUUAAUACCUUGCUGUUUUGACGUUACCGACAGAAUAAGCACCGGCUAACUCUGUGCCAGCAGCCGCGGUAAUACAGAGGGUGCAAGCGUUAAUCGGAAUUACUGGGCGUAAAGCGCGCGUAGGUGGUUUGUUAAGUUGGAUGUGAAAGCCCCGGGCUCAACCUGGGAACUGCAUCCAAAACUGGCAAGCUAGAGUACGGUAGAGGGUGGUGGAAUUUCCUGUGUAGCGGUGAAAUGCGUAGAUAUAGGAAGGAACACCAGUGGCGAAGGCGACCACCUGGACUGAUACUGACACUGAGGUGCGAAAGCGUGGGGAGCAAACAGGAUUAGAUACCACGUAGUCCCUGAGCGGGCUGGCAAGGCGCAU
rnacentral:rRNA from 1 species